rnacentral:sRNA from 1 species
CGCUCCAGUGGGCCCAGUGGGCCCCACUCCUACAGUUUUGCCCAUGGGAGCCCCUGUUCCCCGGCCUCGUGGUCCCCCACCGCCCCCUGGAGAGGAGAACAGAGAGAUGGAUGACCCCUCUGUGGGCCCCAAGAUCCCCCAGGCUUUGGAGAAGAUCCUGCAGCUGAAGGAGAGCCGCCAGGAAGAGAUGAAUUCUCAGCAGGAGGAAGAGGAAAUGGAAACAGAUGCUCGCUCGUCCCUGGGCCAGUCAGCGUCAGAGACUGAGGAGGACACAGUGUCUGUAUCUAAAAAGGAGGUAGGGAUUGGAGCUGAGUCUGGAAGGAAAGGCAGGAGAUGGGACUUGGGUACAGAAAUAACACAAUUUGUAAGUGUUCAGUAAGUAAUAGCUUCUGUUUUGUGCCAAUUUCCGCCCUCAGCAUCUUAUAGAUAUUUUUCAUUUAAUUGCUUUGAGUUCCAAGUACUAUGCGUGCCUACAUUUUACAGCUGAAAAAGC